AUCUGGGUAGUUUAAGUAAAAUUUUGACUUGUGGCGUCAAGGAUACAAGAAAGGGAAACUUGUCUUAGAUC
rnacentral:tRNA from 1 species